GGGCUUGACCGUAUGGACAAUGGG
rnacentral:siRNA from 1 species